UCUUACUCGCCAAAAGGUCUGACAGCUCGGUGCCCUCACAACACAUUUAAGGCUUCUAACUCUCCCCCGGAUCAAAUGCGGCCAGGAAGUCGGCGAGAAACACUGGCCACUCAGACGAGCUGCAUCCCCGCUCCCACAUACUUCUCCCGGCUGUCGCUGGAGGGAUCUUUGCAGAGAUAAAUAGCGUUCGAGCAAGGCGCGGUCUCCUUGCUCGGGGAGGCAUUGAACGCACCACGGAAGCUCCAGAAAGCUGACGUUUUUAUGGUUAUGGAUGUGGCCGCGCUGCCGAGGGGAGAGGAGGAGGAGGAUGAGGAGGAGGAAGGCCACCCGAGAGUUGUCUUCACGUCUCGCCGGCAGCAGAAAGGACAGAAAUGAUGCAUUUGGCUCGGCCGUUUUAAGUGAAUGAGAUGAAAAUGAAUAAGAAAAUGUAAAAUAUUUUCGAAUGCAUUCUGCCAUUUUUUAAAUAUAUUUUCAACAUUUUUUUUUUCAUUUUUCCUAAUCAAAUGCACCCUUAUUUUGAACGAAUUUUUGCAUUCUUUUUAAAUAAAUAAAAAAUAUUUUUGUAUUUUAUUUGAACUUUUUUGGAUCGGAUUUUUGCAUUUAAGUAUUUUUACGAAUUUUUGCAUUACAAAAAAAUAUAUAUCUUAUUUGAAUUUUUUGGAUCGGAUUUUUGCAUUGAAGUAUUUAAAAAAAAUCAAAUGCAUUCUGUUGGUCCCCAAAUUAAAACAAAUGUGCCUCGA